rnacentral:rRNA from 1 species
AUUGAACGCUGGCGGCAGGCCUAACACAUGCAAGUCGAACGAGUGGCGGACGGGUGAGUAAUGUCUGGGAAACUGCCCGAUGGAGGGGGAUAACUACUGGAAACGGUAGCUAAUACCGCAUACCAUCAGAUGUGCCCAGAUGGGAUUAGCUAGUUGGUGGGGUAACGGCUCACCAAGGCGACGAUCCCUAGCUGGUCUGAGAGGAUGACCAGCCAAACUGGAACGGAGAAACGGUCCAGACUCCUACGGGAGGCAGCAGUGGGGAAGAUUGCACAAUGGGCGAAAGCCUGAUGCAGCCAUGCCGCGUGUAUGAAGAAGGCCUUCGGGUUGUAAAGUACUUUCAGCGGGGAGGCGUUACUCGCAGAAGAAGCACCGGCUAACUCCGUGCCAGCAGCCGCGGUAAUAC